rnacentral:rRNA from 1 species
GAACGCUGGCGGCAUGCCUUACACAUGCAAGUCGAACGGCAGCACGGGAGCAAUCCUGGUGGCGAGUGGCGAACGGGUGAGUAAUAUAUCGGGAACGUGCCCAGUCGGUGGGGGAUAACGUAGCGAAAGCUACGCUAAUACCGCAUACGAUCUAUGGAUGAAAGCGGGGGAUCGCAAGACCUCGCGCGAUUGGAGCGGCCGAUAUCAGAUUAGGUAGUUGGUGAGGUAAAGGCUCACCAAGCCGACGAUCUGUAGCUGGUCUGAGAGGACGACCAGCCACACUGGGACUGAGACACGGCCCAGACUCCUACGGGAGGCAGCAGUGGGGAAUAUUGGACAAUGGGCGAAAGCCUGAUCCAGCCAUGCCGCGUGUGUGAAGAAGGUCUUCGGAUUGUAAAGCACUUUAAGUUGGGAGGAAGGGUAGUAACCUAAUACGUUGCUGCUUUGACGUUACCGACAGAAUAAGCACCGGCUAACUACGUG